CCUACGGGAGGCAGCAGUGAGGAAUAUUGGACAAUGGGCGCAAGCCUGAUCCAGCCAUGCCGCGUGCAGGAAGACGGUCCUAUGGAUUGUAAACUGCUUUUAUACAGGAAGAAACACCUCUACGUGUAGAGACUUGACGGUACUGUAUGAAUAAGCAUCGGCUAACUCCGUGCCAGCAGCCGCGGUAAUACGGAGGAUGCAAGCGUUAUCCGGAAUCAUUGGGUUUAAAGGGUCCGUAGGCGGUUUAAUAAGUCAGUGGUGAAAGCCCAUCGCUCAACGAUGGAACGGCCAUUGAUACUGUUAAACUUGAAUUAUUAGGAAGUAACUAGAAUAUGUAGUGUAGCGGUGAAAUGCUUAGAGAUUACAUGGAAUACCAAUUGCGAAGGCAGGUUACUACUAAUAUAUUGACGCUGAUGGACGAAAGCGUGGGGAGCGAACAGGAUUAGAUACCCUGGUAGUCCACGCCGUAAACGAUGGAUACUAGCUGUUCGGAGNAUNUNAGUGNGUAGAGAAGAGAGUAAGUAUACCACCNCGGAGGUACGUUCGCGAGAAGAGAACGUACGAAGAAAGUUAGUACGGACGUAGAGACGAGCGACGGACGACGACGAGGGAGGAGG
rnacentral:rRNA from 1 species